rnacentral:rRNA from 1 species
GAUGGCGACCGGCGCACGGGUGAGUAACACGUAUCCAACCUACCGGUUAUUCCGGGAUAGCCUUUCGAAAGAAAGAUUAAUACCGGAUAGUAUAACGAGAAGGCAUCUUUUUGUUAUUAAAGAAUUUCGAUAACCGAUGGGGAUGCGUUCCAUUAGUUUGUUGGCGGGGUAACGGCCCACCAAGACAUCGAUGGAUAGGGGUUCUGAGAGGAAGGUCCCCCACAUUGGAACUGAGACACGGUCCAAACUCCUACGGGAGGCAGCAGUGAGGAAUAUUGGUCAAUGGACGAGAGUCUGAACCAGCCAAGUAGCGUGAAGGAUGACUGCCCUAUGGGUUGUAAACUUCUUUUAUAUGGGAAUAAAGUGAGCCACGUGUGGCUUUUUGUAUGUACCAUACGAAUAAGGAUCGGCUAACUCCGUGCCAGCAGCCGCGGUAAUACGGAGGAUCCGAGCGUUAUCCGGAUUUAUUGGGUUUAAAGGGAGCGUAGGCGGACUAUUAAGUCAGCUGUGAAAGUUUGCGGCUCAACCGUAAAAUUGCAGUUGAUACUGGUCGUCUUGAGUGCAGUAGAGGUAGGCGGAAUUCGUGGUGUAGCGGUGAAAUGCUUAGAUAUCACGAAGAACUCCGAUU